AGAUAUAUUCAUCAAAAAAUUGCAGCAAGCGUUAAUUUUACCCUGAAAUGUCAAGUCAUAAAUAACGACAUUCUUUUGAAUAUCAGUGGACUUGUAAUUGUUCCCCUUUGAUUAUUCAAUUUUCCUAAAUCAAGUCAUCAUCAGUAAAUCAAUCUUUUUCUAAAGAUUCGAAAUGAUGGAUUAUCUGCUCCGCAGGAGAUCCAACGACUGCUAAAAUACUAGAACUCCAUCAAGGUCGAUUUGCUUUCCCCUGCCCCCACCAUUUAUUGUUUCGCCUUGGCCAAACCUGUGAAGAGGUUUGCCGUAGGUUAGGCAUAUCCUUGAGUCAGCCCAGCAAAAAAAGAGCGGUGCGCAUUCUAAUUGUGAAUUCUCGGCUUCACCAGACGUUUUUUCAACAACCGUUACACGAGCCCAAAUUUCCCUACGCUUCUGACGUCAGACUGAUUAUUAUUUUUUUUUCAAAUGAUGUGUUCAAUGGAGGUGUUUACGGGAUUGCGUGAUGCAAAAGGAGGUUUAUAGCUUCGAUUAUAGACGUUUUAUUCUGUGAAGUAUGCACAAUCGUGGUCGACGGUCGGACGAAUGUGUAAAGAACACGCCACCGUCAUCAGCCAAUGGCGGUGGUUCAGGGUUUUUCUGGUUCGUUGCUAUUGGUCCAUAACCUGCUAAUGACUCAUCCAGAGAUCGACCGGGAAUUCGUCGCUUGUUGCUUUCUAAAGGAAAUAAUAAUUCUUGGUGGAUUUUUGAUAAUUCAUGGAUUUAAUGCUGAUUCUGCCGAUAGCAACGAUAAUUGUGAAAUUCCGAGUUAUUGCGUCUUGCUAUUUCACUCCGGUCUGACCCAAUUCAGCGACCAAACCACCGAUAAGAGUUAUCACAAUCAGUACGGGCAAUCCAAGUGUCCAGUACCCGCGGGGCAAAAAGUAUGCCUUGACUCAUCGAGACGAAAUGCCGAUGACUUCCGUGAAAUAAGCCAGAUGGAGAACAGGCUGAAGGUGUUCACUCGCGCCGCUGGAUGCGUUUUGUAGGGAUUUCUGCUUGAGCAUCCUAUGAGUCAUCGUCGAGGAAGAUCGGCGGUUGUUUUUUAAGCUGGGACAACAGUCCCACCGGCCUGCGACCAAUUACAGUUAAAUACGGAUUAUAAUCCCACGUCACACAUGAAAUUCUGGGCGUCAUCGGUUAUGAAUGAAGUCACAAGUGUUGCACAUUUCCCGGUGCAUUUCCUACUCGUGCCUCUCCAUAAAAAAAGUAGCGAUAUACUUUGGACAGAAAAGGACAGACUUUUUAUGCACUUAUCGAGCCGAUGAGUAAUACUAGUUGUUGGUUAUGCAUACGAGACUACUAUAACCUCCAGAGUGACGCGCAAAAAGCAUAAAUGAUGAAGCCACUAUCUCCUCAUCGACGAGCUAACAGAUAGAUACGCAAUAAUUGUGAAUCCACGAAUUAAAUCACAUGGAGUUAUCCGUUGUAUUUUUAUUCUCAUUUUCAAAUGUGAUUUUUAUUUUUUCGCGGUUCGUGUCCAGACCGCUGUGUUUACGACGAUAAUAUCAUGCGUGCUUAUUAGACUGAAUAGUUCUUUUGGUUUUUAAUGCGUAAUGACAAUUUCUUUUGUUCGAUGGGUAAUUACAGGGCACUUGACGGCUGAUCCCUAGAGGAUCAGGUGAAUUUUUUAUGGCAAUUUUAAUUCAGUUGUAAGUUUCAAAUUAGAGGGUUGACAGGUGGUCACGAUCUUCUUUUUCGGGAUUUUUUAGUGCAUUUUUUUUUAAUAUCAAAGUUUGUUUAGAGUUUUAUUGAAAGCGAUUGUAGUUUUGUGAAGAUAGCCAGUCUUUCUUUUUCCUGGAAACGAUUUUGUGAAUUCGUCUGCGGAACAUUUCUAUUUUGAGAAGUUCAAGUAAGUUGAUUUUUUUUUUCUUGUCUCCUUAAUUAGAGGGGCAAUGAAAGAUAUUUCGCAACGGUUUUAUUACUGUGGACUUAUCAGAGGACGAUUCUUCAUUUGAAACUGACCGAAAAGGUUUUAAAUUUAUUUAUGGUAAAGUACAUUAGCUACGCUAAAAUUUUGUAAAGACUGUAAUAUUUAAUCAGGAAGAUAUUUCCAAAAAAAAAAUGAUAGAAUCAUUCUGACGCAACUGAGUCUAUCAAUUCGAAUACCUGGAUUGAAAUGAUGAUCUCCAAAAGCUGUAAAAAGGAGAAAUAUUUAUUAAAAAAAGAUCUCAAUGUUUUUAUCCUCCAGAAGUGAUGAAAGACCUCCUGAAUUCUCAUUAUCUCCAUUGAUCGAAUGAAAGCUUUGCCUUAUAUUUGAAUACCGAACAUCUGUGUUCCCUUAAAAGAGAAAAAAAAACGCUGAAAAGGCAGAGCACACCUGCGAAGAAGUAACAUUCGACUAAGAAAGCAUUCAAUGCAAAAACCUGACCUAUCGCAAUGCACGAAAGAUGGCGUGACCAUGGAGGGGUGUACUUAGGGCCUUAUUCAGGAGCAGGUAUUCGUCAUGGAGCAAUUUUUUUCGAUGAAAAGAGGGCCAACAGAAAGGGCAGCAGCUCAAACAGUGCGAGGGCCUUUUGUUCGUCAAAAUCAGAGUUUUUAGGCUCCACGGGAGGAGGCUGAUCCACCUGCGAGUUGGAACAGGUCGUAACAGGUCGGAUCAAGACUGCCUCUCCCUCAGACGCCCUUUAGCUCCUUCUUCCCCCUCCCCCACUUGAUUUUUCACAAAAACCAGUUUUGCGAUACCUGAGGACCCGGAUAGACGUCUUGGGACGAAAUAGGGAUAAACGAGUGCGGGAGAUGAUAUCGGGGGAUUUUGAUUCGGCUGGAAUCGAAUUUCAAAUGAUUUUGGGUCGAACGGGCGGAACUAAUUUUUUACCAAAUAUUUCUCUCUGUAUAUCAAUGACCAACACUUCAAAAUUUGAGUUCCAGUGUAAAAAUCAGCUGGUGAGUCGGGCGUUGUCAAAAAAACAGCCACUAAACGGAGUCUCCGAUUUCCCCCCAUAUUUGACAGUCAGGUUGGGCCCUCCCGCUAUUCCACCAGAUGUAGAAAACAUGUUGGUUAUUUUCUUACCAAAUAAAAAGAUAUUUUUCACUCGAAAAGAGCUACCACCAGACCAAUAAAUGAAAAAGUCGACCAGACACCAGCGGCCCCAGGAUUUUAGUACAACGUAGUAGGACUGAAAACUGGUCUCCGUAUAUCUUUAUGGGAUCGCACUCUCGGUCCCAAACAACAUGUGGAGGGAAAAAAAACCACGGGGCCCACAAAUGCAGGGACAAAGAAUCAAGUGGUGGCCCGGGGAGACACACAGGGGAGUAGUGGGAGAGACGAGGGAACCCGGUUCCGAGAAUUGAGCAUCGUUUUCUUGGAGUUUCGUUUGCCCUACCACGAACACGAUACCCGAGACCAAAACAUCAUGGGUCUCGGGCAAAACGUGUGCAACAAAACGUGGAAUUUAUGGAAAAGCGGAAUAACCGUUGAGAUCUUUGGGUUUUGGGGGGCCUUGGAUGCUGUGAGAUGGUAAAAAUUCAGGUGAGAAGUGGAGACCGUGAUGAAAUUCACGAGGAUUUUCCGGGUGAAAUCGGCGAGUUCAAUUUCAGGUUGAAAUUUAUGGCAGAAUAAAAAAUCAGGUCCUUGUACCUAAUU